UUCCUAAGCAACUUCCUAGCCAUGUUGUAAAACUCAUCUUAUAUCGCAUGCGUUUGGGGAAGGGCAGGGGCUGAAUUUCUUUGCAGGGUUUGGAGCUGGAGGGCGCGUGUUUGUGUGACCACAAUCUAAAGGAAUAAGAGUAGAUGCUGAAACGGACCGUGUCCCCUGAGAGCAGCCUCCAGGGUGCCGCUCUGUCCUGUGGACGGAGCCUGUUGGCGGUUUCCCUGAGCCUGCCAAGCCCGGCUUCGGGCUCCCACGCUCGGGAGGAGUCCGCAGGGGCAGCUGGGCCGGGCAGUGGCGCAGGGAGGGCCGGGCCGAGGCAGGAUCGGGGAGGGCAGGCUGGAGGCCGGGGCAGCGGGUCCAGCCUGUGUUCAGCAGAGGGCGCCCCGCGUUCCGCUGGAGCGGAGCCGGGAGGAGCCUCCUGCGCCGCUCGCCUCGGCGCGGCCGGUUCCCCGCUGGUGCUGCCACGUCCUCUGGGCUGAGCCGGGACUCGGGCGCGGCAGCCGGAGCCCCACGUGCGCCGGGAGCCGGGCGGGACGGGGGAAGCUGCUGCUGGUGCCCGGCGCUGGGAAGUUGGAGGCGGCAGAGCCCGGACCCCUGGCGGCAAAGACAACUCCAAAUUGUGGCACAGGCAGCCAUCUGAAGUAACAACAUCGGAAGUUUCACCCCUUUUCAAAGACCUUCCUUUGCCUCUCUGCAACUCAACUUUCUGUUUUGUUUUUUGUUUUGGUGGAGGCACAACAAAAGAGCCUAAGAGAAGAAUGAGGCAGCUGAAAGGAAAACCCAAAAAGGAGACCUCCAAAGAUAAAAAGGAGAGAAAGCAGGCAAUGCAAGAGGCUCGACAACAAAUCAUCACUGUAGUGCUUCCCACAAUGGCUGUUGUAGUGCUUUUAAUUGUUGUGUUUGUUUAUGUGGCAACUCGCCCAAAUACAACUGAAUGAUGCAGCUUUUUAAAUUCUCUAACUUCGUGUAUUAAUACUCGUAUUUUAUGAAGAGCCAAAAACCCCCCUGCCAAACCUUUCUUCCAAUAUCCCACAUUUUAAUAGUAUUUUACAAAGGAACCUACUGUCAUCUUCAGUCUUCUACUUAAUUGGAGUGCUAGGAUUUCUGUUUUGGAAUGUAACAUAAAACGGAUUCAUGAGCGUGCCAAUACAUUUUAUGGUCCAGUUGAUGUGCCUUUCAGACUUUUAAAAUGGUGUUUUUUCUUAAAGCUAUUUGAAGUUCUAUAUUGUGAAAGGAAACUCUGUUGUGUUAUAAAUUUGUAUAAAUCAGCUUUCAGAUUUUAUCACUGUAAUCUGUAAUAUUGCUCCCAUGAGUUUUUGUUUGUCUGUUUCACAACUUCCAAAGAAGUACACUUCUUCUUUGUGCUUAAUGUCAUUUGAAAUGCUCUGAUUUAAAAUAUAUAUAUAUUUUUGGAAUAAAGAAGAUAUUAAUCUUA